GGAAAGAUGAAAAGAACUUUGAAAAGAGAGUUAAACAGUACGUGAAAUUGUUGAAAGGGAAACGAUUGAAGUCAGUCGUGCUGGCGCGAAAUCAACCCUCUCGUCGAGAGGUCACAUGGCGUGGCGAGCCUCAAAACCGUCACGAAGCGUGAACUCUUGGCGAAAAGGAGCACUUUCGUGUCCGCUGGUUAACAUCAAUUUCGAACGUCAUAAAAAGGCUGGAGGGAUGUGGCUCCUUCGGGAGUGUUAUAACCUUUAGCGGAAUGUGGUGGUCGGGAUUGAGGAUUGCAACGAAUACCUUUAGGGCUGUUCCACCUGGCUUCUCUUUGGUAUCCUGGUGACGACAGCUUGCUGACGUUGUUAGGAUUCGCCUUUGAACAGGCUAGAGUGUGAGCAAAUUCGUUAAGGAUGUUAACGUAAUGGCUUUAAACGACCCGUCUUGAAACACGGACCA
rnacentral:rRNA from 1 species